GUGAAAUAUAAUUAUUGUAUGUGACAUACAAUAAUAGUAUAGUCAAUUUUUGUUAAUAUGUUAUGUAUGAAAAAAUUGUAAAAAAAAAAAAAAGACAUCCUAGGAUAAUAGGGAUGGGUGCAGCCACUCUUAUAGAUAAUUUAAUGUAUAUCUGUACCCAACGAUUAACCAAACACAAUGAAAAAAGGAUUCUGAAUGGAGUACCAUAAAAAGUGUUGCUUUGUCAACAAUGUAUGUGUCACUAUUGUAAAAUAAUA